rnacentral:rRNA from 1 species
GAUGAACGCUGGCGGCGUGCCUAAUACAUGCAAGUCGAGCGGACCAAAGAGAGCUUGCUCUCUGAGGUUAGCGGCGGACGGGUGAGUAACACGUGGGUAACCUGCCUGUAAGACGGGGAUAACUUCGGGAAACCGAAGCUAAUACCGGAUAAUAAAGAGAAACGCCUGUUUCUUUUUUGAAAGUCGGCCUUGUGCUGACGCUUACAGAUGGGCCCGCGGCGCAUUAGUUAGUUGGUGAGGUAACGGCUCACCAAGGCGACGAUGCGUAGCCGACCUGAGAGGGUGAUCGGCCACACUGGGACGGAGACACGGCCCAGGCUCCUACGGGAGGCAGCAGUAGGGAAUCUUCGGCAAUGGACGAAAGUCUGACCGAGCAACGCCGCGUGAGCGAUGAAGGCCUUCGGGUCGUAAAGCUCUGUUGUCAGAGAAGAACAAGUACCGGAGUAACUGCCGGUACCUUGACGGUACCUGACCAGAAAGCCACGGCUAACUACGUGCCAGCCGCCGCAGUAACAC